rnacentral:lncRNA from 1 species
AAUGUCAUCAACAGCCACCACCACAACCACAAGUUAAAUGUCUGGGCUUCCAUCAAGGUACUCAGCCUCGGUGAAGGUGUAAUCCCUGCCCAUGGGAUGAAGGUGUAAUCCCUGCCCAUGGGACAGUGCAGAUCUGGUUUCUCUCCAGCGCUGGGGAUUGUCCUGCACCAGGAAAGAAUCUACAAAGCAAACCAGUUGGUGGUGAGGGAAUGCUUGCAGCUUUACAUACUGCUUUGAAUAGCUGAUCAGAGGAAAAAGAGGAAGUAAAAACACCUAAUGGCUACUCUAUUGCCCUGCUAACUAUCUGCUGCUGAUGCCUUGCUUGCUUGCAAAUCUGGGCCAAAAAUAAUAAUGAACAAAAUAAAGCAGCAGAUAAAAAGCA